CAAGGGAUUACAAACACAUAUAUAAAAUAAUUACCAACUAUAGAUAAAUUCUACAUAAUUAACACACACAAUCCCUUAAAACAAAUUGAGAACAGCUACGAAUAAACACCAACAAAUAUACAAACAAACAAACAAACAAACAAAGAUCUCUAUGCAAACUCCGCUGAAACCAAAACAACUCUCGAGCGUGCUUGCGUCAUGACGUCGCGGCGUCACAUGACGGCAGCAGCACAGCUGAGAGGGGAGCGUCAAGGCGGCGUAGAGCGGAUUACUCUGUGUUUACAUUCCGUUUACCGUCUCUUUUCUGCGUUUACUCCGAUUUUACCACAACAGCGCGCAUCUCCUGCAUCUGACCGCCUGAAGCAGUGCUGCUGUCGCUCCUCUCGGUGUUGGACGGAGCUGCUGCCGUCGUUUGUGUGAAAGAAAUUAAAGCACAACACACUGCCAACCUGAUCCACGGCUGUCUGACUGUGUGUCACGAUCAUAUUCGAUCCAUCCAGACUUCUACAGCUCAUAUAGUCUGAUACAGUGAGAAUGUGGAGGAAAAACAGACUCAAACUGAGCAAAAAAAUGCAGUUUAUAUGAUGAUGUUCCGCUGCUUGUGAUGCAAAUCAGUGAGAUCUUUAUAACAGUUGAGCAGAUACUGACAUAAAAUCAUCUAAAUAUGAGUCUGUGUGCUCUAUAUCUCCAGUAAUCUCAGUAAGAUGAGAUUUAAAUAAUUGAGAGAUGAACAAAUAAACAUAAAUCAUUUUAAAAAGUUACUUGAAAUAAAUGUUAACUGAAUAUAUAUACUGUCUCUUAUACACAUCUCUGAGCGGGCUGGCAAGGGGGGUAAUGCUCAGGAAUCCUGGGGGCAGUAGCACAAUGACACUUACUUUUUAGGAACCAAAAAAAAAAAAAAAAACUAAGACCGCCAAAGCAACAUUUCUCAUUUUCAUUUAGUUUUAACUUAGAAUAAAAUCUAAAUGAAUAAAACCUAUAUUGACAUUUAAAAUUAUAAUAAAAAUGGCAAAAAAGACGAUUAGUAAAAUAUAAAAACGAAUUUAAAACAUUAGUAAAAACUAUAAUAGUAUCUUAAUGAUUCUAAAAUAACACUGAACCAACUCUAGGCCCUCGUGUAGAAAUGAAAAUCUCUAACUUCUCUUAACAGCGUGGACACUUAUAUUAGUGUCAGAUCGGUCAGUGUGGGGCAUUCCCUGUUAACUCAACCAGAGCUCCUCGGCUCAGAUGAUUUAUUACUCUUAUUUUGUUACCCAGCUACAUCAUGUUAUUUCUACACAGAGACAGGUAGGUUUAUUAAUAAAAUCAGAUGGCUUUAAUAAUCUUUGUUGCAGUUCAUGCCAAUGGUGAUCUUAUUUUUGCACGUCUGUAACUCAAGAAGUAUCAGAAAUAUCCCAAUGCUCUUUUAGAUAGAGGGUCUUAAAAAACUUUCCUCUUGGCAUCUUCAUUGUCAAGGCCCUUUGUGAUUCCAUUCCAGAGAUAUUGCAGUUUUAAUACGACUCCAGGAGUUAAAGUGAAAGUGACAGAAAGUGAAAGU
rnacentral:lncRNA from 1 species